rnacentral:misc_RNA from 1 species
AACGCACCUUGCACCCUUUGGUAUUCCGAAGGGUACACCCGUUUGAGUGUCAUUGUAAUCUCACUACGAUCGACUUUGGUCUUUCUGUAUGUGGACUUGGAUGCUGCCGUGGUCAAUCGACGGCUCGUCUGAAAUGCUUCAGUGUACCCCGCUUUGCGGCGUAUUCGGUGUGAUACAUCUUCACCGGAGUUGAUCCUUUUGGGUCGCGUCUGUAAUGGUGUGGCUCUAUGCUUCCAACCGUCCACCGGGUGGACAAUCUCUGACAAUUUGACCUCAAAUCGGGUGGGACUACCCGCUGAACUUAA